AGUGAACGCUGGCGGUAGGCCUAACACAUGCCAGUCGAACGGCAGCACGGUAAGAGCUUGCUCUUACGGGUGGCGGGUGGCGGACGGGUGAGGAAUACAUCGGAAUCUACUUUUUCGUGGGGGAUAACGUAGGGAAACUUACGCUAAUACCGCAUACGACCUACGGGUGAAAGCAGGGGAUCUUCGGACCUUGCGCGAUUGAAUGAGCCGAUGUCGGAUUAGCUAGUUGGCGGGGUAAAGGCCCACCAAGGCGACGAUCCGUAGCUGGUCUGAGAGGAUGAUCAGCCACACUGGAACUGAGACACGGUCCAGACUCCUACGGGAGGCAGCAGUGGGGAAUAUUGGACAAUGGGCGCAAGCCUGAUCCAGCCAUACCGCGUGGGUGAAGAAGGCCUUCGGGUUGUAAAGCCCUUUUGUUGGGAAAGAAAAGCAGCAGGUUAAUACCCCGCUGUUCUGACGGUACCCAAAGAAUAAGCACCGGCUAACUUCGUG
rnacentral:rRNA from 1 species